UCUGAAUCACCCAAAAGAGAAAAAGAAGCAAGAAAAAGACUGCUCAUGACCAAUCCAUAAACAUCCAUUUUGAAAGGUGGAAGAGUAACGCUGAAAUGGACGCCGUUCUCAGGGACUGGUAAAGUUAGGGAGAUACUGGUGGAGACCGUUUGCUUUAGAGUGAACCUGAGGCUGUACAAGUUGUGGUUGUCCAAACCCCGACAUUGAAAGAGAGCACAUUGCCUGCCUUUAUACAGCAUUGAGUCCUACUUAGUGUGAACUACCGACCAGAUCCACUGAAGGAAUAUCCAGUGUAACCAAUGGCUCAUCAAGUAACCAAUGGCUCAUCAAGUAACCAAUGGCUCAUCAAGUAACCAAUGGCUCAUCAAGUAACCAAUGGCUCAUCAAGUAACCAAUGGCUCAUCAAGUAACCAUUGGCUCAUCAAGUAACCAAUGGCUCAUCAGGUAACCAAUGGCUCAUCAAGUAACCAAUGGCUCAUCAGGUAACCAAUGGCUCAUCAAGUAACCAAUGGCUCAUCAAGUAACCAAUCGCUCAUCAAGUAACCAAUGGCUCAUCAAGUAACCAAUGGCUCAUCAAGUAACCAAUGGCUCAUCAGGUAACCAAUGGCUCAUCAAGUAACCGAUCGCUCAUCAAGUAACCAAAGGCUCAUCAAGUAACCAAUCGCUCAUCUGCAUGACAUAUUGGUGGACUAUGGGCCAUGACGUCACAGGACGGUCACAUUAGCAUGUUACUGUCACGACUCCUACCGAAGGUGGCUCCUCUUCCUGUCCGGGCGGCGCUCGGCCGACGACCGGUCUACUAGCUGCCACCGAUCCCCUUUUCUGUUUUCUGUUGGUUCGGUCUGAUUUGGUUCACCUGUUUCUGGUUUACAUUUUGAGCUGGGCUAUUUAAGCCGGUUGUCCCGCCUGCUCUUUCUGCGGGCUUGGUUCUUUUUCCCACUGUGUUGAUGUGUGGUA